UUUUGACCACACUGCCGAAGACAGCAGGUGCCGAAAGGCAUAAGUUGAAAACGCCUGCCGAGGAAACAUUCAUCAUACGGAAUGAUUUUUGACCUCUUAUGUCUGCGGAUGUAAGAGGUUUUUU
rnacentral:sRNA from 1 species